rnacentral:lncRNA from 1 species
GUUUUUAUACCCAUUUUGCAGAUGAGAAAAUUGAAGAUCAAGUCACACAACGGUAUCCUCUGACUUUGAAGUCUCCUGCUGGUUUUGUGAUUUGGCCUUUGCACGGUGCCUUGUCCGCUCGAAAGGCUGAGUGAGAGAAGAGGCAUCUUCUGUCUUUCCUCGGGGGUCAGUGCGGAGUGCUACACAUCUUAUCUCUCGUGCCUGGCUUGGUGCUUUAGGGGCUCUAUUUUCUAGGAAGUUUUGAGCCUGAAGCCCAUGAAUCGGUUUACAGAAUGUAAAUAUUUUACAAAACAGAUGAUGACAAAAACAUUUCAAGUUUGUACUAGAGGAAAGGAAUGAAAUUGACCUGGGUUUAGCCAUGAAGAAUGCUUGAGAGCCAGCAUCCGGAGUUUGUCUUCAGUGACCCGAUUUAAAUCACUUCGGAAGAAGAGAAGGAAAGAAGUAAGUCUCUUUUUUCAUUCUGCCUCUUUGUAGAUAAUUACUGA